UCCCUACGGGGGGCAGCAGUGGGGAAUAUUGGGCAAUGGAGGCAACUCUUACCCAGCAAUGCCGCGUGAAUGAAGAAAGUCUUCGGAUUGUAAAGUUCUUUAAUUGGGGACGAAAAAAAUGACGGUACCCAAGGAAUAAGCCCCGGCUAACUACGUGCCAGCAGCUGCGGUAAUACGUAGGGGGCAAGCGUUAUCCGGAUUUACUGGGUGUAAAGGGAGCGCAGACGGCAGUGCAAGUCUGGAGUGAAAGCCCGGGGCCCAACCCCGGAACUGCUCUGGAAACUGUGCGGCUAGAGUACUGGAGG
rnacentral:rRNA from 1 species